ACUAGGAUGUUGGCUUAGAAGCAGCCAUCAUUUAAAGAGUGCGUAAUAGCUCACUAGUCGAGUGACMCUGCGCCGAAAAUGUACCGGGGCUAAACAUAUUACCGAAGCUGUGGAKURYNCCUUUNGGWSWANUGGUAGGAGAGCGUUCUAAGGGCGUYGAAGSMWGAUCGYRAGGACWKSUGGAGCGCUUAGAAGUGAGAAUGCCGGURUGAGUAGCGAAAGACRGGUGAGAAUCCYGUCCACCGAWUGACUAAGGUUUCCWGRGGAAGGCUCGUCCGCYCWGGGUUAGUCGGGWCCUAAGCYGAGGCCGACAGGCGUAGGCGAUGGAUAACAGGUUGAUAUUCCUGUACCNCSUWGUWUYNGUUUKARNCRAUGGRGGGACGCAGGAGGCUAAGGAAUGCAGACGAUCGGAAAUGUCUGUCCAAGCAGUAAGUCUGAAGAGGAGUCAAAUGCUUCUUUUCUUAAGGACAAGCUGUGAUGGGGAGGGAAAUAAUAGUACCGAAGUUCCUGAUGUCACACUGCCGAGAAAAGCUUCUAGUGAGAAAACAGCGGCCCGUACCGCAAACCGACACAGGUAGUCGAGGAGAGAAUCCUAAGGUGAGCGAGAGAACUCUCGUUAAGGAACUCGGCAAAAUGACCCCGUAACUUCGGGAGAAGGGGUGCUGAUCAUACGAUCAGCCGCAGUGAAUAGGCCCAAGCGACUGUUUAUCAAAAACACAGGUCUCUGCAAAAUCGUAAGAUGAAGUAUAGGGGCUGACGCCUGCCCGGUGCUGGAAGGUUAAGAGGAGUGCUUAGCGCAAGCGAAGGUACGAAUUGAAGCCCCAGUAAACGGCGGCCGUAACUAUAACGGUCCUAAGGUAGCGAAAUUCCUUGUCGGGUAA
rnacentral:rRNA from 1 species